rnacentral:rRNA from 1 species
AGAACGAACGCUGGCGGCAUGCCUAACACAUGCAAGUCGAACGAGACCUUCGGGUCUAGUGGCGCACGGGUGCGUAACGCGUGGGAAUCUGCCCUUGGGUUCGGAAUAACGGUUAGAAAUGACUGCUAAUACCGGAUGAUGACGAAAGUCCAAAGAUUUAUCGCCCAGGGAUGAGCCCGCGUAGGAUUAGCUAGUUGGUGAGGUAAAGGCUCA